UCUUCCUCUCCUACACAAGCAAAGGAAAGCGCAGCAGAGACAAAGCUCUUGCUGCUGUUUUUGCGUACUGAUCUGCACAGCUCAGUUGCUAGGCCUUUGCCUGGCCUGGCAAAACAUCAGAAGAGGGCAAAACAGGAACCAUGGAUGCUUGGGAUCCACAACAGCGUUAUGAAAGUGCAGUCAAAACUAGAAUUUUCUGAAUAUGGGCUGACUUGACAGGACAGUGGCUGGUGAAAACUGCAAACUAAUGAUAAGGACAGUCACCAUCCUUGUCCUAUCUUUGCUCCCGGAGAAACCUGUUUCCCUGUAAAGCCAGGGCUAUAGGAGUAGAUGAGGAGUGGAAAGAAGGGGAAAUCCCACAACAGUUGCUGAAGAUUUCUUCCCUGCUACUGCAUCUGCUCUGAUGUGACCAAAAUUCCCCAUCAACUUGAAGGGAACUUCCUGAGCAAGGACUGAAAAUCGAGCUGAAACUGUACCUGGUCUAUACUGUGCUUAAACCAAUAGUGCCCCCCUGAGGAGAUUUUAUUUCAUGUGUGCAUAGGAGUAGAUGGCCUGAUGAGGAUGACUGUUCAACUACAAGGACUCACAUUAGAUUCAAAUCAUGCAAGAGACUGGCUGAGCCCUGAAGGAGAAGCAGCAUGCUGAAGUAGACUCCAAUAACAAAUCUCUCAGGCCUUUUAUCUGCCAGCUGUCAAUUCCUAUGCACAUCCAAAGAUCCAGUCCUGCAAUUAAGACCUUGGCUUGUUAGCAUUUAUCUUGUGACUCAUUACACCUGCCAUUGCUGUUAUGCCAUUAGCAUUGCACUUCAUGGUACA